UUGACAAAUAGAGGCAGCUAGUGGAUGACGAGCACAAUUGGCAGCAAAGACAAGGUCCUGCAUCCACAGAGCCUGCCUGGUCCAAAGGAACACGGGGCCUGUGGAGGCAGAUCCAGCAGCAGGAAAGAGAGGAGCCAGGCACACGUGUGUCCCGCAUGUACGUGUGCCCCCUUAACCAACUGACUGACCAGAGGCGGCGGCGGCGGCAGCAGCAGCAGCAGCAGAGGAAUCGGCAGCGGGGGCAGCAACAGCUGAUCCCCCAAAGGUAAGUGGGGCGGAGGGACACGGCGCAGCUGAGCUGGAUCCGGAGGGGAAGCCCCCCGGGUCCCAUAUAGCUGAGCCGGUAAGGAGCCGCACUCCCGAGCCGCGCAGCGUGAACAGAGCGUGCAAACAGGGAGGGCUAGGGAGGGGACUGUCCCCCCAGGCCAGGGAGCACCCCCGGGGCUAAUCUUUGGGGAGCAGGCUCCAGCGGCAGCGGAUCCCCCCAGCAGGGGAGCGUAGGAGGCGGAACUGCCGACAGGCACUUCCAGGUAGACCGGGGCGCCUGAUUGGCCGUUGGAGCAGGGGCGGGUAAUUCAAACCGCGGGCUUUAAAGCCAUGGGGUGACGUAGUUCCCAGAACUCGGGAACCAGCAGAGGGAAAGAGAGGAGCCAGGCACAUGUGUGUCCCGCACGCAUGUGUUCCCCCUUAACCAACUGACUGACCAGAGGCGGUGGCGGCGGCAGCAGCAGCAGCAGCAGCAGAGGAAUCGGCAGCGGGGGCAGCAACAGCUGAUCCCCCGAAGGUAAGUGGGGCAGAGGGACCCGGCGCAGCUGAGCCGGAUCCGGAGGGGAAGCCCCCCGGGUCCCAUAUAGCUGAGCUGGUAGGGAGCCGCGCUCCCAAGCCGUGCAGCGCGAACAGAGCACGUAAACAGGCACGCUCUGUGAGAGCGCGCCGGCAUUUGCGCAGGCGUUCGUGCCGGCAGGUGGGCCGGGAGGGCCAGGAGUGAGACUCCUGUAGGGGUAGGGAGUAGACACCACACAGGUCUACAAACAGCAGGUCAGAAUGGUGUCUACGAGGAGUGCUGCUAGGGCCUCUGCCCAGGGGGACAUGGCUAACUGGGGCUGGUCUGAGGUCUCCACCCAGACUGAGCCCAUGGGGGAGCUGAUGUCCCCCUACCUCCUGGCCUGUGGGGGAUCCCCAGCAGGGCCGGGGGGGACAGAGAUUGGGGGCCCCCACACCUGUCCGGCAGGUGCCUGUCUUAGGGCUCUGGAGGCGCAGGUGAGGGAGCUCCGGGAGGAGGUUAGCAGGCUGAGGGGGAUCAGGGAGGUGGAGGAUGAAAUUGACAGAUAUUUCCUUUCCCUGCAGGACCAGGCACCGAAGGAAGAAGCAGCCUGGGGAAUGCCCUCCACAGCAGAGUGGCAGACGGUCACAGCCAGGACCAGAGCAGCUCGCAGAGAAUUGGUACCAGCUUCUCCAGUUCGACUGGAGAACAGAUCAAGAGACCCAAGAGGACCCAGAGGAGGAGGUGAAGAGUGCUCGUCAUAGGCGACUCCAUCCUGAGAGGUAUGGAAGGGCCCAUCUGUCGCCAGGACCCCUCAGCAUGAGAGGUAUGCUGCCUCCCUGGAGCAAAGAUUCGGGAUGUGACGGAGGUAAACCAGGCCAGGAUCAAGCCCACCGAUUACUACUCCAUGGUCCUAGUCCA